rnacentral:tRNA from 1 species
GGGGCCAUGGGGUAGCUUGGUCUAGCCUCCUAGCAUCGCUAGCACGGUUCGGGAAUUCAAAUCUCGGUGGCCCCA